GGACGUGAGAGUGAGACGCUGCCUGAGAAUUGAGAGUGAAGUGAAUUAGUGAAACCCUAAGCCACUUUACCAGUCGUCGCCUACAGACCCGUUGGCCGCUGCACCUCGUUUCUUCCAACCGUGGCGGAGGUUGACUUCACUAGCUGCCGCCGACGGUCACGGAACCUCGGCCGGUCGCCGGUCGACAGUCGCCCCUGCCUACUUGAGUACUGGCUGUCUGGCUUGCACUCUCGCCGACCAGGGCCCGAGCAAUAUCGUACGUGUCGCCGUCGCCGAGCAGACGAAGACACCGAGGCCGAGCUCCAAUCUAGCGUUCACGCUGCCACCACACCUCGUCGAGCGCGGACGCAUACUCACCUGAGUCACCUCCGCCAGUUCAGCUGCUCAGGAACAUGACCGGGAUAGUGAUUCCCAAUUCAUGAAUGAAGAUGGCGAGCUGUGAAGAAAUCUUACAAAUGUGUGUUUGAUGUCAUGAAGACAUUGAAGACCUUAUAUUGUGUCCAUGUGUGUGUGUCGGUGUGUGAGUGUGACUAUAAGUCUAUUACUCUGUUAACUGUUAUUGUGUACGAACUGAAUUUAUGUGGGCAGAGUGAGUGUAAGUUUACUUGUUGGAUACUUGGAUUUGGAAUUGUGCUAUGUGCUCAUGUACUAUUGUGGACUUAUUUUAUUUUCAUGUUGUUCAA